AAAGUCGUAACAAGGUUUCCGUAGGUGAACCUGCGGAAGGAUCAUUACCGAGUAUCGGGUCCUCGCGGCCCGCACUCCAACCCUCUGUGUACCAACUUUGUUGCUUUGGCGAGCCCGCGGUGUAAUGCCGCAGCCGGCUCACGCCGGUUAGCGCCCGCCAGAGAACCGUUAAACUCUUGUUUAAACAGUGUCGUCUGAGCAAAAUCUUAACAGUUAAAACUUUCAACAACGGAUCUCUUGGUUCUG
rnacentral:misc_RNA from 1 species